UACGUAGGGGGCAAGCGUUGUCCGGAAUCACUGGGCGUAAAGCGCGCGCAGGCGGUCAUCUACGUCUGGGGUGAAAGCCCGGAGCUCAACUCCGGGAUUGCCUUGGAUACGGGAUGACUUGAGGAUCGGAGAGGCAAGGGGAAUUCCACGUGUAGCGGUGAAAUGCGUAGAGAUGUGGAGGAACACCGAUGGCGAAGGCAGGUCUCUGGGCCGAUACUGACGCUGAGGAGCGAAAGCGUGGGGAGCGAACAGG
rnacentral:rRNA from 1 species